AGCCCUGCCAAAGUGAUCGUGAUGCUUUGUUUUAACAUCCGUCCACCCCUCCAGGUGGCAAACUUGGGCAAACUGAAGGGGUAGACACUGUUCCGUGGACUGAAGAGGAAUGACCGCACCCAAAAUGGAGUCAUAAUUUAUACACAGAGAAGCGCACCCGUGGCUUUUUAAAAAUAGUUGAGUUCCACUUACUUCAAAUACGAGUAGAUACUGUGUGUUCACAGAAGAGGAUCCCCAGUGGGAAGAGUCCACCGAGGCUUCUCGCGCCUUUUCCCUAAUCCUCGGCAGGAUCUGCGUGGCAGCAGUCAUGCUCCAAACGGCCCUCUCUCUCUGGAGCCAAGCCCACGACGUUCUAGAAGGUUCCCUGGAAUGCACCGUCUGUUCUCAGAGGAGAACUUACAGGAGACCUGGAAUCAGGUGGCCAGAGUGCAUUCCUCCUCUCCUGCACCCGUGAGUCCCCCAGACUUUGUAGCCACGUGAGUAAAGAGGUCACGUCCUGGGGAGGGUGUGGGCGUCCUCCUGGGCCGGGGGGACCCCUGGCUGCGUCGACCGCCCCAGAUCCCCCCUCCUCUGCCUUCCCUCUCACCUCUACCUCCCCCAUCUCUGUCUCUCUUGUUUCGGCUCCUCCCUGUGGAAGAUUCUUAGUAUGGAGUCUUCCCGUUUUCAUCUCUCUCCUGAGGAACCAGUGGCCCUCCUGCUCAGGUCUGCGUUCCCCUCCGACACCAGGACCACUGCCCCCCUCCAAGCGUCUCUCCCCGCUCCCCAUCGGUGGUGCUGUUACCCUUGGGGAGGCGCCCAGUGGCCCAGGUGCCCCACCACCUCAUGAGCCUUGGAUGGUUUUCAGGAACAGAGGAGAUGAGUCGGCAGCUCUGGGUUUGUCAUUUGCUUGCCUUUGGUUUAUGGUUUGGACCUUACAGAAGUAUUUUGUGGUUUUUCUUUAUGGUCUCUGAUUUGGGGCUGCAGGGGAGGGAAGAAAGAGGCCUUCUUCCCUUCAAGAUAAGGAAUACGCUGCUGCUGGCUUUAUGUAGGACUUUCUUGAUUUCAUUUUAUAUUCAGAUUAUCUGGCCCACCGAGCAGCAGUCGGGAGCCGAGGGUCUGGUGGUUAUUUUGAUGAUGGGUUUUCUAGUUGUCCCAACGGGAUUUAUCUGAUUAAGGCUUAUUUUCUAUAUUAAUGUACUAUUUUAUCUUCAGAUUCUCUUAUACUGAACAAAAGCAGCUCAAUCCUCUUCAUCAGCAUGGGUAAAUCAAUGUAACAAGAUAGCCUUCACCCGCGGGUUUGGCAAAAAUUGUCAAGCUUGAUGCUGUUCUGUCCUGGGGAGGGCGCGAGGAAGACAAGCAUUCUCGUACUCCAUUGGCGUGAAUGGUGUAAGCGGGUGGAUGCUUUUUUUGGAGAAGAGUUGGGCAAAAGGCACCAACGUUUUUUGGGGUUUUGUUUUGUUAACACAUGAACUUUUUGUCUCCGCUGUUUCCCUGCUAGGAAUUUGCCCUCUGGAUACAUUUGCAAAAGCAGAGCAAAGAGGAAUGCAUAAUUCUGCUCACGCCGCAGAGCAGGUGACCGCAGAACCCAGAAUGGUCCGCAUCUUCAGUGUCUACCGGUCGGGGCGGGAUCCCUUACGUGGGGCGCAUGCGUACCACGGAGCACUGCGCAGCAUCUCAGGGGAAUAAGGGGCCCCCGGGGCGCGGGCCACACGCUGCGCCACAGACCAGGUGAGAAGUUGCAGGAAGUAAACGCUCGGUUGCUUCUGAAUCCAUGUAUAUGCACAUACACACACGUGCAGGACUUCGUCUAGAAAGAUGCACAUCAGGGGCGCCUG